rnacentral:rRNA from 1 species
UGAGCAAUCUGCCCUUUCUCUUCGGAAUAAGCGUUGGAAACGACGUCUAAUGCCGAAUACGACCUCCUUUCGCAUGAUCGGAGGUGGAAAGCUCCGGCGGAGAAGGAUGAGCUCGCGGCCUAUCAGCUAGUUGGUGUGGGUAAUGGCCCACCAAGGCGACGACGGGUAGCCGGCCUGAGAGGGUGACCGGCCACACUGGGACUGAGACACGGCCCAGACUCCGUACGGGAGG